UGUUGCUAAGCAAGCCAUUUCUUAAGUGAGUUUUGCCCCAUUUUACGACCAUCCUUGUCACAGCUGUUAAGUGAAUCACUGCCAUUGUUAAGUUAGUAACACAGUUGUUAAAUGAAUCUGGCUUCCCCAUUGACUUUGUUUGUCAGAAGGUCACAAAAGAUGAUCACAUGACCCUUCCCCAGGACACUGCAACCAUCAUAAACACGAGUCAGUUGGCAAACGUCUGAAUUUCAAUUGCAUGACCAUAGGGAGGCUGCA